UUGGUGGAUGUGGUAUGUCACCACGCGUGUCUCCCGUAUGUCCUGUCUCAUUGUGACAGCCAAUCAGAUCAAAUGCAGUGUUUAUAUAUGUUCCUGGUUAUUGCGGUAUCUCUAAGUGUUGGCAGUGCACUAUUGAUCAACCCAGUCCUUGUUGACACACCGCCAGCAGCCCGCUCGAACACACUGACGACCCUGUGUGUUGGCAGUUCGGUUUCCAGAAAGAUAGUGCUGAAAACUAAACGCUUUCCCGGAACAGAAACUGGUGCAUAAUUCUCCGAACGCAUUCCUGGUACAAGUAUUGGUGUAUAUAUUCUCCGAACGUGCCUGAAAUUGUUCAUAUCCCCCGACCAAGGACCUGGCGCGUGUGGACGUAUUAGCAACUGUCCACGACUAUCAGCAGGUGUUCACGACUAUCAGCAGGUGUUCACGACUAUCAGCAGGUGUUCACGACUAUCAGCAAUUGUCCACGACUAUCAGCAGGUGUUCGCGACUAUCAGCAGGUGUUCACGACUAUCAGCAGGUGUUCACGACUAUCAGCAGGUGUUCACGACUACGACGGUAAUAUAUCAAGAUGGCCUCCAGGACUAUGCAACCUAACUACUUUGUUGCCAUUCGUGUCACAGACGACGGAAUUAAACAAACGUUUGACAGAGUUCGGGAAAGAAUAAUUAAGGAAAAUGCCAACUAUUUGACAGUGUGUUCAUCCAGGGAUGAUCUCCACGUGAGUCUGUGCCAUCUCUCAAUUCAGACACAGACUCAGCUCCAUACAGCGGUGGAAGCUCUCAACAGCGCCGCGGAGAACAUCCGAUCCAUGCAAAACAAGACAACGUUAAAAGUGAAAGGAAUCGGCACGUUUAACGACGUUGUCGUAUACGGUAACGUUGAGUACGAACGUGAGCUAUCAGUUCUCCGGUCUGUGAUCGUUUCGUUUCUGGACGCUCAGGGGAUUUGUUGGUUACACAGGGGAUUUCACUCCUCACAUGACAAUUGCAAAAGUGACGAAAUCUUUCACCCACAAGACCGGUAUAACGUAUUUCCCCAGCAAGGUGUACAACACCGACAACGACGUCGUUUUUGGUGAGGAGGAUGUUGAUGCAGUCAGACUGUGUCGGAUGGGGUCCGAAAGGGACCACGAUGGCUUCUACGUCACUGACGCCACCGUUGUCGUGUAGACCACUGAGUGAGAAAGUUAUUUUCUCUUUGUAGUGAAUUGAAUUUGAUACUUUAACUGAUCAUGAUGGACUGUGCUAGCAAUUUAAGGCUUUAUUACCUGCUGAACCUGCUGAAUAGGGUUUAUGUGUUUUAAUCUUUGCCUAUACUUUACUGUUAGUUUAUACACUGUGAUAAGAAUGUUUCCCCGCAGUAACUUCUCUCAUCCCUCUACCUCGGAACCCACUCGGGACAUAUUCCGCUACACUCGUAUUGUUUGCGGAAGCGGCGAAGCAGUAAUGUUGCACAAAUGGACUGUACUCCCUGGGACUGAGUGAGUGAGUAGGUUUACGCCGCUUCUAGCAAUUAUCCGACAUCACGACGGUGCUCCUCAAACAUAAGCUACACACAAUAUUACCAUGGAAGGAAUCGAACCUCUGUGACAAAAGAACACUUUAUACCCACAAGGCUGCCUGAGACUCAUUACGAUAUUACAUUACUUGUAAAACUUUGACAGAACGUCCUUUGUGGAAAAUAUAUGAACAUUAAA